GGCAGCUGAUGAUGUCACAGGUACUUGUAGAGCAAGUCCACUUGAAUGUCCUGAGUCUGCUGAGUGGCUGUCCUGGCGGGCUGAAUGCAGGUGAUGUUGCAUAGCCAGAGCCGUAGGGACACAGGAAAUGAAGGAUCACCAUCUCGGUUUAAGAUGAAGAUAUGGAGCUCAAGGAUGGGGAGCCCUCUCUGCUUCUGGGACGUUUCCUCUAGACUCUGAUGUCGGUUGGGUCAUCGCGGGGUCUUGAUUCCUGGGACUUCCCUGAUGAGCCACCUAGGAACCACUAUGUUGGAGACCAGGAUGUGGUGAAGACACACAGGACUCAGCUUGCAGAUAAACUCCUCAAAGGUCCUUGUGCAUUGGGAAGAGUGGCUACUUCUGUCUCUCUAGUUGCUAUGCUGUGCGUCCCUGUCUUCAGAGGACCAGAGACCCAUUCUGGCUAUAAGCAGAAGCAACUAGUGCACUUUCCGGGCUCGGCUGUCAAUGCCACACUCCCCAGGACUCCAGGAGCCGGUUUGACGAUUCGGCAUGUAAUGGCACUUGCUAAUACGGUCCUAGCCACCAAUAUAAAGGUUUCAGAAGGAAGACACCAAAUCUACAAAGUUAUCUGAUCUCCGUAUGCAUGCUGAAGUAUACGCAUGCCCAAACACACCCAUCAUACACAUAUACACGCAAAAAUAAUGAUCAAUAAAAUAAACAAAAAAAUAUCUGUUUCCCUGCAGAGACCCCAAAACAGGAACUUUAUAUUAUGUGCAGGGCUGGUCUAAAAGCUCUUAGAAUCACC
rnacentral:lncRNA from 1 species